AUUGAACGCUGGCGGCAGGCCUAACACAUGCAAGUCGAGCGAGCGGCGGACGGGUGAGUAAUGUAUGGGGACUGCCCGAUAGAGGGGGAUAACUACUGGAAACGGUAGCUAAUACCGCAUACUAUCGGAUAACCCAUAUGGUAGUAGCUAGUAGGUGAGGUAAUGUCUCACCUAGGCGACGAUCCCUAGAUGGUCUGAGAGGAUGAUCAGCCACACUAGAUGUGAGACACGGCCCAGACUCCUCCGGAGGCAGCAGUGGUGAAUAUUGCACAGUGGGCGGAACCCUAAUGCAGCCAUGCCGCGUGGAUGAAGAAUGCCCUAGGGUUGUAAAGUACUUUCAGUCGUGAGGCGUUACCGACAGAAGAAGCACCGGCUAACUCCGUGCCAGCAGCCGCGGUAAUAC
rnacentral:rRNA from 1 species